CCUACGGGUGGCAGCAGUGGGGAAUAUUGGACAAUGGGCGAAAGCCUGAUCCAGCCAUGCCGCGUGUGUGAAGAAGGCCUUCGGGUUGUAAAGCACUUUCAGUGGGGAAGAAAGCCUUGGGGCUAAUACCCUCGAGGAAGGACAUCACCCACAGAAGAAGCACCGGCUAACUCCGUGCCAGCAGCCGCGGUAAUACGGAGGGUGCGAGCGUUAAUCGGAAUUACUGGGCGUAAAGCGCGCGUAGGCGGUCUGAUAAGCCGGUUGUGAAAGCCCCGGGCUCAACCUGGGAACGGCAUCCGGAACUGUCAGGCUAGAGUGCAGGAGAGGAAGGUAGAAUUCCCGGUGGAGCGGUGAAAUGCGUAGAGAUCGGGAGGAAUACCAGUGGCGAAGGCGGCCUUCUGGACUGACACUGACGCUGAGGUGCGAAAGCGUGGGUAGCAAACAGGAUUAGAUACCCUUGUAGUC
rnacentral:rRNA from 1 species